CUCUUUGAAAAGGACAACUAUUUUGUUUAUGUUGUUAUAUAUCUUAUUGCACUUCUUGAUGUUUGCAGGGCUUGUAGUCCCAGAUGUUCCAUUAGAAGAGACUGAUAAUUUAAGAAAGGAAGCUCUGAAAAAGAAUAUUGUACUGGUAUUGCUAACCACACCCACUACUCCUAAUGAUCGAAUGAAAGCCAUUGUUCAAGCUGCUGAAGGAUUUGUCUAUCUGGAUUAAUUGUUGAUUGCAAUUUGAGCAAGAGCUUGGUUUUGCAGGAUUUUCUAUAAUGAAGGACUUUGGAUUUUGAUUGAUUUAUUGAGGUAUUUACUCUUCAAAUGUGUUUAUUCUCUGUAUUUAGGCUUGUUUAUUUUGGUUUUUUUUUUCAUUAUGUGUUAUAAGUUUAAGAGAAUACAUGUUUCAAUUGAAUUUUUGUAAAACUUUAAUGUAUGUAGAAAAAUAUAUGUUGUUCUAAUAGAACCCAAUAUAGAGUUAAGUGGAGGUU